AAAACUUUUCCAAAAGAAAAAAAUCUGUUCUUAUCAGUUUAAUAUCUGAUACGUCCCCUAUCUGGGGACCAUAUAUUAAAUUGAUUUUUGGAAUAGGGAGAUGGAAUAGGGGCUUGCUCCGUCCACUCCACGCAUCGACCUGGUAUUGCAGUACUUCCAGGAACGGUGCACCCCCU
rnacentral:snRNA from 1 species